rnacentral:tRNA from 1 species
GGUUCUGUAGCUCAGUCGGUAGAGCAGCGGAUUGAAGCUCCGUGUGCGCCUGUUCAAUUCAGGCCGGGACCA